rnacentral:lncRNA from 1 species
AAUGAACUUUUAAAGUGCAGCCAAGCGAGGAGACCCUUCACACAUUUCCUGCUCGCAGAAUAUCACAUUCAGAUGACCGAAGUACAACACCCAUUUUGCCUUCUGAAUGUUUCAUCACAUCCCUUCAUCGCCCCAUCUUUUACAUACCAUGUGAAUACAGAAAAUAAAGGAACAUUUUCUUUUCCCAACA